rnacentral:rRNA from 1 species
UACAGAGGGGGCAAGCGUUGUUCGGAAUUACUGGGCGUAAAGGGCGCGUAGGCGGCCUGCUAAGUCGAACGUGAAAUCCCCUGGGCUCAACCCAGGAACUGCGUCCGAUACUGGUUGGCUUGAAUCCGGGAGAGGGAUGUGGAAUUCCAGGUGUAGCGGUGGAAUGCGCAGAUAUCAGGAGGAACACCGGUGGCGAAGGCGGGUCUCUGGGCCGAUACUGACGCUGAGGAGCGAAAGCGUGGGGAGCGAACAGG